CAGCCGCGGUAAUACGGGGGAUGCAAGCGUUAUCCGGAUUUAUUGGGUUUAAAGGGUGCGUAGGCUGUGAGGUAAGUCAGCGGUGAAAUGCCCCCGCUCAACGGGGUGAAGUGCCAUUGAUACUGCCUUGCUGGAAUGCGGAUGCCGUGGGAGGAAUGUGUGGUGUAGCGGUGAAAUGCAUAGAUAUCACACAGAACUCCGAUUGCGAAGGCAGCCUGCUGGACUGUAACUGACGCUGAUGCUCGAAAGUGUGGGUAUCAAACAGG
rnacentral:rRNA from 1 species